UCCCACAUAGCAAAAUUUGAUUGCGUGGAAUUUUUACUUCUUCGGUGAGCUUUAAGCUCUGUGGGAG
rnacentral:tRNA from 1 species